CCUACGGGAGGCAGCAGUGGGGAAUAUUGGGCAAUGGGCGCAAGCCUGACCCAGCAACGCCGCGUGAAGGACGCAGGCUCUCGGGUUGUAAACUUCUUUUAUCAGGGACGAAGCAAGUGACGGUACCUGAUGAAUAAGCCACGGCUAACUCCGUGCCAGCAGCCGCGGUAAUACGUAUGUGGCAAGCGUUAUACGGAUUUACUGGGGGUAAAGGGCGUGUAGGCGGGAAAGCAAGUCAGAUGUGAAAACCAUGGGCUCAACCUGUGGCCUGCAUUUGAAACUGUUUUUCUUGAGUACUGGAGAGGCAGACGGAAUUACUAGGGUAGCGGUGAAAUGCGUAGAUAUUAGGAGGAACACCAGUGGCGAAGGCGGUCUGCUGGACAGCAACUGACGCUGAGGCGCGAAAGCGUGGGGAGCAAACAGGAUUAGAUACCCUGGUAGUC
rnacentral:rRNA from 1 species